rnacentral:rRNA from 1 species
AGCUCCAAUAGCGUAUAUUAAAGUUGUUGCAGUUAAAAAGCUCGUAGUUGGAUUUGUGGUGUGUCUAGUUGGUGCGAGGCUUUUGCUUUGUUACUAUACUGGACCACCUUUUAUGGGACUGUCUACUUUGUGGCAUUAGGUUGUCGCAUUGUUGAUGCCCAUCUUUUACUGUGAAAAAAUUAGAGUGUUCAAAGCAGGCUUAUGCCGUUGAAUAUAUUAGCAUGGAAUAAUGAUAUAGGACCUUGGUACUAUUUUGUUGGUUUGCGCACUGAGGUAAUGAUUAAUAGGGACAGUUGGGGGUAUUCGUAUUCCAUUGUCAGAGGUGAAAUUCUUGGAUUUUUGGAAGACGAACUACUGCGAAAGCAUUUACCAAGGAUGUUUUCAUUAAUCAAGAACGAAA